rnacentral:lncRNA from 1 species
CAAAUGCUCCUACCCUCCACCCGCCAAGUCACCUUAGGCAGGAAAGAAUGACCUAGCCAAAGGACAGCCCACUGGAGGGGUCAUGAGAACCACUGGCCAGAGGAGGAGCCGCAAAGAACAGUGGGUCAAAGAUCACAAACUCAAUGACAUGCAAAAAUUCCAUCCCAGAACGGCUCUCUGAGACGGCUCGGCCCAUAUUGAUGAGGUCCUGAGGGAACUUCUAGGGGAAAGGAUAUCACAUGAGACAGGAAGCAGG